AUACUUACCUGACAGGGGAGGCACCAUGAUCACACAGGUGGUCCUCCCAGGGCGAGGCUCUUCCAUUGCACUGCGGGAGGGUUGACCCCUGCGAUUUCCCCAAAUGCGGGAAACUCGACUGUAUAAUUUGUGGUAGUGGGGGACUGCGUUCGCGCUAUCCCCCG
ensembl:snRNA U1 U1 spliceosomal RNA